UUACGCGCAGCAGGACGGAAAGACCCCGGGACCUUUACUAUAGUUUGGUAUUGGUGAUUGGGACGGUUUGUGUAGGAUAGGUGGGAGACGUUGAUGCGGCCACGCUAGUGGUGGUGGAGUCGUUGGUGAAAUACCACUCUGAUUGUUCUGGUUAUCUCACUGUGGACCGUGAUCCGGUUCAAGGACAGUGCCUGAUGGGUAGUUUGACUGGGGCGGCCGC
rnacentral:rRNA from 1 species